rnacentral:rRNA from 1 species
UACAUGGGGUGCAAACGUUGCUCGGAAUCAUUGGGCGUAAAGAGCGCGCAGGCGGUCGAUCAAGUCGAGUGUGAAAGCCCCCGGCUCAACUGGGGAGGGUCAUUCGAUACUGAUCGACUCGAAGGCAGGAGAGGGUAGUGGAAUUCCCGGUGUAGUGGUGAAAUGCGUAGAUAUCGGGAGGAACACCAGUGGCGAAGGCGACUACCUGGCCUGUUCUUGACGCUGAGGCGCGAAAGCUAGGGGAGCAAACGGG